GUGUUGUAUGAAAGGAGAGAAGGCUAUCACUCCCCUUAACAAGGAAAGAAGAGGCUCUCAGGCCUAACAACACACAGAGAUAAUUAGAUUAAGAUUUAAAAUUAGUAUUUUUAGUAUCUCUCUUUUUU